rnacentral:rRNA from 1 species
GAUGAACGCUGGCGGCGUGCCUAAUACAUGCAAGUCGAGCGAACAGACGAGGAGCUUGCUCCUCUGACGUUAGCGGUGGACGGGUGAGUAACACGUGGAUAACCUACCUACAAGACUGGGAUAACUUCGGGAAACCGGAGCUAAUACCGGAUAACAUGUUGAACCGCAUGGUUCAACAGUGAAAGACGGUCUUGCUGUCACUUAUAGAUGGAUCCGCGCCGCAUUAGCUAGUUGGUAAGGUAACGGCUUACCAAGGCAACGAUGCGUAGCCGACCUGAGAGGGUGAUCGGCCACACUGGAACUGAGACACGGUCCAGACUCCUACGGGAUGCGGCAGUAGGGAAUCUUCCGCAAUGGGCGAAAGCCUGACGGAGCAACGCCGCGUGAGUGAAGAAGGUCUUCGGAUCGUAAAACUCUGUUAUUAGGGAAGAACAAAUGUGUAGGUAACUAUGCACGUCUUGACGGUACCUAAUCAGAAAGCCACGGCUAACUACGUGCCAGCCGCCGCGGUAA